rnacentral:rRNA from 1 species
CACAGAUGACGACCGGCGCACGGGUGCGUAACGCGUAUAGAACCUACCUUUUACAGAGGAAUAGCCUUUAGAAAUGAAGAUUAAUGCCUCAUAGUAUUGUAGACUGGCAUCAGUUUAUAAUUAAAGAUUUAUCGGUAAAAGAUGGCUAUGCGUCCUAUUAGUUAGUUGGUAAGGUAACGGCUUACCAAGACAGCGAUAGGUAGGGGUCCUGAGAGGGAGAUCCCCCACACUGGUACUGAGACACGGACCAGACUCCUACGGGAGGCAGCAGUGAGGAAUAUUGGACAAUGGAGGAGACUCUGAUCCAGCCAUGCCGCGUGUAGGAAGAAUGCCCUAUGGGUUGUAAACUACUUUUAUACAGGAAGAAACACUGGUAUGUAUACCAGCUUGACGGUACUGUAAGAAUAAGGACCGG